UGUUUCUUUCCCCAUGGAAACCCAAAAUGCAGCUGGAUGCAGGCAAAGAGGAGGAUACUGCACUUACGGGAGAUGCAACUUCCCUGCGAGACCCAUUGGAAGAUGCACACUGUACAGUGUGUGCUGCAAGAGAUAAGAAUCUGGGGUUGAAACUCUGAAAUUCCCAAGCAGGAUUUACCCCUUCCUUCUGGCUGCUGGACCCAUCUCCUGAUGUCCCCUCCCGUCCCUGCCUAUGCCGUGCCCUGCUGGGGUGACAGCAGCAGUGGCAGCUGCUCCUGCUGGGUGCUGCUGGGCUGGAGCCCUGUGGUGCCAGCCCCGCUGUCUUUGGGGCAGGGGCUGCUUUUCCCAGCUUGAAUAAAGACGAGCACUUUGGCAUUGCA